CCUACGGGAGGCAGCAGUAGGGAAUCUUCCACAAUGGACGAAAGUCUGAUGGAGCAACGCCGCGUGAGUGAUGAAGGUUUUCGGAUCAUAAAACUCUGUUGUAAGGGAAGAACAAGUACGAGAGGGAAUGCUCGUACCUUGACGGUACCUUGCGAGAAAGCCACGGCUAACUACGUGCCAGCAGCCGCGGUAAUACGUAGGUGGCAAGCGUUGUCCGGAAUUAUUGGGCGUAAAGCGCGCGCAGGCGGCCUUUUAAGUCUGAUGUGAAAGCCCCCGGCUCAACCGGGGAGGGUCAUUGGAAACUGGAAGGCUUGAGUACAGAAGAGAAGAGUGGAAUUCCAUGUGUAGCGGUGAAAUGCGUAGAGAUGUGGAGGAACACCAGUGGCGAAGGCGACUCUUUGGUCUGUAACUGACGCUGAGGCGCGAAAGCGUGGGGAGCAAACAGGAUUAGAUACCCUGGUAGUCCACGCCGUAAACGANAGAGUGNUAGUGGUUGGGGUUUCCGGUCCCGUCCNGUGCUGAGACGUACG
rnacentral:rRNA from 1 species